UAUUCCAGGUGAACUCUAACCUGUUUAUGAAUUCUGAUAGUGUUUCCGGUAAGCCUGAUCAUGUUGUACUGUUUUUAUUUUUAUUUUAUUUUCCGAGCAACCCCUAAUCCUCUCUACCCGCCCCUCAUCAAAAUUUAGGGUUCUUUGCAGGAUUUGUUAUCCGCCGUACGAGUAGUUGUGUUGCUGAAGUCAACCUGAUGUUCUGUUUCGUCCCUGUUUUGUCUUCUCUUUGGCCAUCAAUGUGAGCUUCUUUCUUGCGAGGCGGUUUACCUUUGAUUAUAAUAUGGUUUUUGCGAUCCUGGGAGGCAAGGAUUGGCAGGUGCAGUGUUGAUGGAGUUAAGAAGAGGCCAAUCACCAAAAAGUUCGAGAGAAGCCACUUCUAUCUGUUUUAGUAUUUUUCCAGGCAGCCCGGAACAUUGUGCUUCUUGCUGUUCCAGCCCUGUUUUUCACGGUGCUGUUGCUGUAGCCAGUGUGGCUGCAUCUGUAUGUUGCUGCAAUCGCAGCCUUCACCACCACGUCUUCAAUCUCUAGAAGGGAUGAGUAGAUGGCUAAAACUGACAUGGUCGUUGCUUCCGCUUCGACCCUUGCGGAUGCUCAGUGUAUGGAGGCUGUGGAAGUGAUUAGAGAUGAGAGAGGGAAUUUGGCCUCUGUUGUCAGCGACAGUGUAGCCAUCAAUGUACUUCUACCGGAGAUAUCUGACACUCACUGCCAGUGAAGCCACAAGUUUAGUAGCUUCAAAAAUCUGUAUUUUGGUUAUCUUAGGUAUUUGAAAGAUUGAUUCUGAUGAAGAAACUCAAUUAUUUUGAUAAUCUCCAUUAUCGUCCGAAACGUAAAAGUUCAC